GGCGGCGGCAGCGGCGCUACCCACCCUCCGACACAACACCCACCGAACCAACGAGCCACCGAGCCACGGGCCCCCAGGGAGCGGGAGCAGGAGGAGGAGGAGGAGGAGAGCAGGAGGAGGAGAGAAGGAGGAGGAGGAAAGAAUGGAGGCGCCGCGGAGCCCUGAUUAUGCAUGGGCUGGAGCUGCCUCCUCUAACCUGUUCUUCUCCGAGCCCGGCAGCCGGCGGUCCUCAGCCGCCCACAGAACAGGAGCCGAAACAACCGUUCCCGAAGGCUACAGCGUUUAUUUUUCUCUUUUGGGGGUUUUGGCGGUUGUUUCACGGGCUCGCCAACUAGCCCCUUUAAUUAAAAGCUUCAAUAAAAGGCGAUCGCGCCAGGAAUGUACCGGCUCCUCUUCGCUCAGGAUUUGCAUAUUUUUUUAAUGCCCUAAUUUCCUUGAUGUAUGUAAAUGUAGCCGGACGUAGAGGGAGACAGGGAGCUGACGUCAAUGGACGUGACCUCGCAGCUAAACCUUGAACGUGAAGCCGGGAUGGGGGAA